CUUGUAGACUAGGCAACGGUCAGGAUACAACUGCUCCACCGCUGUUCAACCUGAUGGAUUUUUGCUUGACUCGGUGUGCACUUUAAUUUUCCACGCGCGACGCAUUUUCCCGUAGCAUGACUUGGAAAAUCAAUUGCAUCUCUUCAUGCGUAGGUGUUCUCAAUGAAUUUUAUAGCAGAGAAAGAAGUUUUCUCUUUUAUUCUUAUUGGAAAAUUUGGGAAAUUGAGUUGGAAAAUGUUCUCGGGAAUCGAUUAAUUUUGUCCGUUAAAAAAAUCACUCAACAUGCUGCAUUUAAAUUUUCCGCCAAGUGGGAAUUGUGGAAACUGAAUGAGGUGAGAUGGUAUCGUGUAGAAAUAGCUCCGUCUCACUCCUGCGUUUUGUAGUCGAGUGGAGUUGUGUGUGGAAAAAAAAUUUAAAUUAAUUUUUUGUAAGAAAAACCCAAUUUCUUUGAAAAAUUCUACGGAAAACGCGAGAAAAUUGCACAAAUUUCCGUGCAAGUGAAACAGAAACAGUCACGUUCGAUUGAGAGAAUCAAGGUGAGAUGGCAUGAGAAAAUAUAUCUUUGUCUCACUUCCUCUCCAUUCACCAACAGCGCCAAAAAAAUACCGCGGUGGUUUUCGAAAUUAUCGUUUUUGUCAACAAAUCGCGAAAAAACUUCGAGAAAAUGUUGUUGAAUUUUCCCAUUAAAAAUCAAGUGAUUGUGUAAAGUGAAUGAAGUUUCCAAUUGCAAAAUCAAUUACCUAAAUAAUCGGGAGAAAGGUAAUGCUUUUUGUUUCUGUAGCUAAUCCAAUUUUUGACGCACAAAAUCACACGAAAAGUAAACAGACAAAAACGCAAUAAGAUUUUUCAUCUGCCAAAAAAAGAAUUUUCACGGUCCAGGAAAAACUCGCGUAAAAUAAAUAAUCAGCAAAAAAUAAAGUGCCACCAAGCAUUGCGAGUUGAUCAUGAAAUGCUCGUAUGAUUGAUGCACGAAAAAACAAUGAGAGGAAGUCAUGGGAGUUCACGCGAGCCAGUGUUUUGAGGGAACCCCACCAGAAUGUGUCCCCUGCCCGCUGUCCGGAAGGUUCUGCGUGACUUGCCGUGAUCGUGCAGAGCCCCCCAGAUGUGGGCUCUAAAUUGCAGUCAAAUACCACGGAAAGGUCAUCAUAUUGCAGAGAGGCCCUUAAAAAGCAUGUCAAGGUGAGUCACACAAUAAGCGAUCUCCAGUGCAUCCGGAGGAAGACUCCGUAGUUUAAAACACCCGGGGCUCAUGCGAGAUGAAAAUGCCACUCGCCCACCGGAAUGACGACGGUGUCAGAGACCAACGAUGCAUGUGCGAGAGGAAAAAUCGAGAAAGGUUGUGAAUUGUAUAGAGCCGUGUGGCGCUUAUUGCAAAACCAUUCGCUCAAUUCCAUCCGCGAGUGUUGUGGUGAAGGCAUCGCAAUCGAGUGGCGGAGUCGCGCUCAGAGCCCGCGCCAGUUGGUUCACGAUCGUUCAUCUGAACAGUUGGAGGAAUUUUUUUUAUAAAAUAAUACUUUUGGAGUCUCCGCGAUCUGGGAGCUUCUGUAGAAGUUGUUUUUUUUUUUAUCUUGUGCGUUUGAAUCAUCAAUUUUUAAUCGUGCGCGUGAUCCUUUUGUGCUACAAAGGAACUUUAUAUAGAUGGAUUGGAUGAGGAGUGAUCUUGUUUUCUUGUGAACAGCGCAGGACAAAACAGAGAUUUUGUUUUUUUUUAAUUAUAAACUUUAUAGUUGAUAUUUCGACACGGCAAUUCGAGAAAGGUUUUUUGUAGUGGCGAAAAAGCCGUGUAAUUUCAAAUAUAUAUAAAAUUGCCGAGUGUGUGGACUCACAGUGUGGGGCUGUUCUUACAAUAUUGUACAGUGCUGUGUGGCAAUAGACACGACAAAACGAGAGUGUGGCACUUGGGGUUUCCAUGUGACCAAAAGGACUUUUACGGGGAGAUUUUGUGCGUGAGGUGUGUUGUUAUAGAGAGGAAGAGAGAAGAAUAAAAUCGCCAAAAAAAGCGGAGGAAAAUCACACAAAGAUGAGCUUCGUCAACUCCAUACUCUUCACAUCGUCGGAAAUGAGCAAUUUUCUCCCAUUCUUGGGAGUUAUUGUCUGCGUUGGAGCCAUGCUAACAUUUUUAAUCAAAGCGGCCAUAAUACUGCGUGUCCAAGGCGAUGGUGGAGAUGCAAUUCGUGCUACAGCCGUUUCAAAUACACACGCCAGCAGUCGGAUGCAGGUCCCAAGGCUCAAGAUGACACGAGUUCACAUACCUUUUACGUUCCGGCUGCUGGAGAGUGUAAAUACAUCGUAUGAAGAAGUUUGCCUUGCUGUAUCCAGCCAGGUGAAAUACACGUUACAAGCUUUUUGGGCUGUCUCCAUCAGAGAACUCCACAUGUCACUGUGGCGACCGUGGAGUGAACUCCGUGAGGCUGCCUACAUGCGUGAUCGCGGAAUUGUUGAUGUUCAACACUAUCAGCAUCUGGCUGUUGAUAUUAGGAAUAAGUCCCCCCAUAGUGAAGAAAUCAUCACAUUGAAAUCACCAAAUUCACCUCUUGCUCUAGGAGCACCACCAAGACUGUCCUACCCACUCGUGAUCUUUCUCAUUCGUAACUUUGAGCAAGACGAAAUUCUCCAUCCGGAUGAGACUGUGAUCUUGGUGAAUGUAGUUCAUCUGAGAGAUCCAGUUUGUCCUCUUCCAACGUCCGUCUUGGCGCAGUAUCUCAAACAAUCGAGUGGACAACUAUCGUGUCUUAAGCAACUGUAUCUUGCCACUGGAGAUCCACUCUCUGGCGAUGAGACGACAACACCGAUACAGACAGGAUCUCUGUCUCUGGCAGAGCCUGUUGCUUGUGCCGGCAAUGGUGGGCCCAUUUUGUGCUCAGAUGGGCCCCAAAUGGAGCAACUUUGCGUGGUGUGUCACUACUUCCCGCUCUCACGUGCUCUGCUACCGUGUCGGCAUACCUGCAUCUGUGCCGUGUGCUUUUCAAAACUAGAACGAUGUCCAAUGUGUAGGGCACCUAUAACCAGCUACUUCUGCAUCAGAUCAGAAGAGUACCUACCCCCAAAUCACACCGAAUCACGACCAGCCAAGACAAAAGGGAAUGUCCACUGGUUGGAUGCUCUCAAUGAUCGUUUAACGGACUUUUUAGGAUUUAGAUAGGCUAUUUGAAAUUUAUUUUCAAUGAGGUCUGACAAAUGAAGGAUCACACGAUGGAUCAUCCCCCCACCCUGUGAAUGAAUCGAGACUUUUUUUAUUAUACAAAAUUGUUGGUUCGUGAAACAGAAAGCGAAAAGAAAUCGAGAAGGAAUGUGAAGCAGAAGUUGCAGAGAGAGAAACCUUGUCCGUCCUUCAGCAUCAGCUUCUUAAAGUAAAAAUACACAACAACAACAAAAAAAA